GGGUGGGCUUCCUCUACUGUGGUAACAUCACAUGCAACAGGCUUCAUUGAUACCAGAGUUGUGUUCAAUAGGCACGAAACUAAAGAAAACGGUUUGAAAUGGGGAGGUACUACAAUAUCUGAACAAUAAGAAAUGUUCGUUUUUGUUUUCAGUUCCAAGGCGUUUUGCUACGGUGUGCCCUAAUGAACACGACCCAGGGUUAUAUGAACAUGUCUAUGUCCUGUUUUUGUCAAUUUUUCAUUGUUUCUUGUAUUGUUGCCGUGGUGAUAUACUGUAGGAAGGUGUUUUAAACAGGCAAUUAACCUCCCUGUAAGCCACUGAUCAAUGAAACUCUGGAUUGCGGCUGCUAUAUAUUGGCCGAUGAGAGGUUUUGAAGCCACCGGUCACCCAUAUUGGCAGUCCUCCUGAAUAAGUCGCUAGUGGUCAUCCAAUGUGAUGCAAUCAUAACAAUAUUGCACCUUUAGCCUGCCUGAAGGAGAAAAGGGAAAAUGAUUAAGCCCGGACCAAGACUAGAAUAAACCUCGGAUUUGCGUUCACUCAGUGGAGAGAACAAUGAGAGUUGAAGGGAUUCAAAACUGACACAGUUUGCAUUUUUUUCUGCUGAAAAGUCAUGAAAGGAAUAAAUCGACAUCAACACCUAGCAAGCCUGUUUCCAGCCCCACCAUUGUUGAGUAUUGGAGCAGAAUCAGAUCGCUAAAGGAGACUACAAUAACAAGUCUUGAAGGUGGAGUGUCUACACAUUGAAAACUGCACAGGACUACAGCCCAGAAUUCCAGAGAGCAGUGUUGAGAACACUGGGCUCUCCAUUGGGGCUACCAAGGGGAAUGAUACUGAGAUCAGAUGAUCCAAGACUCCCUGAAGUGCCACCACCAACAACAGAUGACCUGCUACAACUUCGAAGAGACGUCGACAUGCGACACAGGAUGCAGUUAGCACAGCUUUGAGCAGUGAAGGACCUGAGCUAUCCGUUUUGUCAGACUUGGUCAUUCCCGGGAAGUAUGAAAACCUACGGAGUACUCAGAAAUGUUGUUGAAAGAGUUGGGCCUACAACCAAACAUAUAUAAAUCAUAUAAAUAAGGGAUGUUUGUGUGGGCAACAAUAAACUUGUGUGAGAAACAA